rnacentral:rRNA from 1 species
UACGUAGGGCGCAAGCGUUGUCCGGAAUUAUUGGGCGUAAAGAGCUCGUAGGCGGUCUGUUACGUCCGCUGUGAAAACCCAGGGCUUAACCCUGGGCUUGCAGUGGAUACGGGUAGACUAGAGGCAGGUAGGGGAGAAUGGAAUUCCCGGUGUAGCGGUGAAAUGCGCAGAUAUCGGGAGGAACACCGGUGGCGAAGGCGGGUCUCUGGACCGAUACUGACGCUGAGGAGCGAAAGCGUGGGGAGCGAACAGG